UACGAAGGGGGCUAGCGUUGCUCGGAAUCACUGGGCGUAAAGCGCACGUAGGCGGCUUUCUAAGUCAGGGGUGAAAUCCUGGAGCUCAACUCCAGAACUGCCUUUGAUACUGGAAAGCUCGAGUCCGGGAGAGGUGAGUGGAACUGCGAGUGUAGAGGUGAAAUUCGUAGAUAUUCGCAAGAACACCCGUGGCGAAGGCGGCUCUCUGGAACGCAACUGACGCUGAGACGCGAAAGCGUGGGGAGCAAACAGG
rnacentral:rRNA from 1 species